UUCUUACCUGAUCAAUUUGAAAUAUUGAGUCUUCAAUUGGAUUGCUUGGUAUUUUUAGUUUAGCCCCUGCCAAUUAGAUUGGUCAUAUGAUGACUGAUUAGAUGAGAUCUAAAUCUAAACUUCUCCAUAAAUAUUAAGUCUAUAGAUCUUCCACCAUUAUAGAUGUGCGGGCAUGUUACUGGUGUUGAUUGUUCUCGACUGGUUACAAUAGUCAAUUACAUUAGAAACAUGCAACCACUC
rnacentral:lncRNA from 1 species